rnacentral:piRNA from 1 species
UAAACUCAACUUCAGAGGGCUUCAACUGUA